UACGUAGGGGGCGAGCGUUGUCCGGAGUUACUGGGCGUAAAGCGCACGUAGGCGGUCUGUUAAGUUUGGAGUGACAGUUGGUGGCUCAACCACCAAAGUGCUUUGAAAACUGAUAGACUUGAGGGCGUCAGAGGGACACGGAAUUCCGGGUGGAGUGGUGAAAUGCGUAGAGAUCCGGAGGAACACCAAAGGCGAAGGCAGUGUCCUGGGGAGUACCUGACGCUGAGGUGCGAAAGCCAGGGGAGCGAACGGG
rnacentral:rRNA from 1 species